rnacentral:rRNA from 1 species
AAUAGCUGGUUCCUACCGAAGUUGGCCGUAGUCAAGCCUUAGAGGAAAUAGCUAGAGUAGUAGAGCUACGGGUUGAAGAUUUAGGUCCCGAAAGGGAUCGAUUUUCUGUCCAACUCCGAACAUUCUAGCAUUACAGAAUCUAAGAGACGGGAAGCCGGGGUAAGCCCGGUUUCCGAGAGGGGAACAACCCAGACUAUAGUUAAGGUCCCUAAUACUGACUAAGUGUGAAAGGGUGAAAAGUGUCUAUUAUCACAGACAGCGAGGAGGUUGGCUUAGAAGCAGCCACCCUUUAAAAAGUGCGUAACAGCUUACUUGUCAAGAUGAUAGGCCUUUAAAAUGGACGGGACUAAGUCAGUUACCGAUACUAUAGAAUGCUUAAAAAGCAAUUAGUAGGUAGGCAUUCUGCAAGGACAGAAGUAUUUUUGCAAAAAAAUAUGGACCUUGUAGAAAUGAGAAUCCUGGUGGUAGUAGGAUCUUAGCACUGUAAGAAUCAGUGCCACUGAAAGGGCAAGGGUUCCUUGGCAAUGCAAAUCAGCCAAGGGUUAGUCGAACCUAACCAAAUCCAUAAAUUGGACUAUGGGAAAAGGAUAAAGGUUAAUAUUCCUUUACUAUUCAAGUAUACGUGGCAACACAAGCUUUAUUUCUGACAUUUCUGAUUAGGCUAACAUUGUUUGUCUACAAUGUCAACUAGAAUAAAUCAGGGGAGUAUCGUAAUGAUGAGAACCUGAUUAAAUCUAGGACGAGCGUUCUUAUGGGACGUUUAGCCGAUAUCUGGAAUCCGUGAAAAGGGAGUAGAGAAAAAACUUGAAUAUUC